rnacentral:lncRNA from 1 species
UACACCACUACAACCAUCACUUGCUUUCUCUAAAUUUUCACCAUUUUCACCAUGACCAAAUCAUUUGUUUCCCUUCUGAUUUUUUUCUUUCUCCUUCUCAAUGCAGGUAGUUAUAUAUUUGAAUUUCAUUUUAUUACUUUAGAUACAUUGUUCAUUGUAUACAUUGUUCAUAAUUUCAAUCUCUCUUUAUAUACAUUGUUCAUAAUUUCAAUUGAAAAUUUACUUAUAUAGAUACUAUGUGCAAAUGAUUUUUUUAAAUCUAAAUUUCAAUAGUGGAAUCUAUUUCAUCAAAUAAACAAAUUUUCAUUAAUGCUUUAAAUUGCGAAAAACUUUACUAUUUUGACCCUUUUAGAUUCUAAUUUGUUAAGAUUUGAUUGAUUUUGAAUAAUUUUACUUGUGCGGGAGGGAAUUUGAAGUUUGUUAAUGGAAUGGUAAAAUAUUAAAUUCCUUAACAUUAUUUUGUGUUGAAUAGAAUUAAUUAAUUUAUGAAAAAUAGAAUUAAUUUGUGUUGAAUAGAAUUAACCAAGUAAGCCAUUUAUUGAAUGUUUAGUUUUAGUGCACAUUCACGUGCAAAGUCUUCAGCAAGUGAACGUGUACUGAAACUAAACGUUGAAUAUGUUUGCAAUAUGUUGGGUGAUUACAAGAUUAUUCAAUCAGGUGGAUCAUGUUUCUACCCCAACCCACCAUUGAAUCAUGCCUCUGCUAUAAUGAAUCAGUAUUAUGCAAAAAAUAGAAAAAAACCAUUGGAACUUCAACUUCUCUACCUCUGCUCUCAUUGUUCUUAUUGAACCAAGUAAGCCCUUUAUUGAAUGAUUAGUUUUAGUGCACGUUCACGUGUGAAGCCUUCAGCAAGUGAACGUGUACUGAAACUAAACAUUGAAUAUGUUGGCAAUAUGUUGGGUGAUUGUAAGAUUAUUCAAUCAGGUGGAUUAUGUUUCUACCCCAACCCACCAUUGAAUCAUGCAUCUGCUAUAAUGAAUCAGUAUUAUGCAAAAAAUGAAAAAAAAAACCUUUGGAAAUGCAACUUCUCUACCUCUGCUCUCAUUGUUCUUACUGAACCAAGUAAGCCCUUUAUUGAAUGAUUAGUUUUAGCGCACGUUCACGUGCGAAGCCUUCAGCAAGUGAACGUGUACUGAAACUAAACAUUGAAUAUGCUGGCAAUAUGUUGGGUGAUUGUAAGAUUAUUCAAUCAGAUGGAUCAUGUUUCUAUCCCAACCCACCAUUGAAUCAUGCAUCUGCUAUAAUGACUCAGUACUAUGCAAAAAAUGAAAAAAAAACCCUUGGAACUGCAACUUCUCUACAUCUGCUCUCAUUGUUCUUACUGAACCAAGUAAGCCCUUUAUUGAAUGAUUAGUUUUAGUGCACGUUCACGUGCGAAGCCUUCAGCAAGUGAACGUGUACUCAAUCAGAACAUUGAAUAUGCUUGCAAUAUGUUGCCUAGUUGCAAGAUGAUUCAAUCAGGUGGGUCAUGUUUCUACCCCAACACACCAAUAAACCAUGCAUCUGUUGUAAUGAAUCACUACUAUGCAAACAAUGGAAGAAACCUUUGGAACUGCAACAUCUCUAACUCUGCUCUCAUUGCUCUCACUGACCCAAGUAAGCCUUUUUUUAUAUAUAAAUGGAACAUGUAGCCUUAAUGUAAGUUUUUGUACAUGGAUUAUUGUUGUGUUAGAUGGGAUUUUGAAAUAGUUCAAUUUGUUUGAUUUAUACAGGUUAUGGGAGCUGCAAGUAUGCUUAGUGGGAAUGGCUACGGUGGAAGAAAUAUAGAUAUUAUAUUGUUGCAUAAGGAUUUUACUUAAUUGUUUAUCAAACUUAAUGAAUUUUACUAGGAUCGUAUCUCUGAGAUACUUUAUUUUAUUUAAAUAAAAAAACUGAAGUUUGCUUCAUAUAUAUAUAUAUAUGCCUUUGUAUUUCGUGAUG